UUUAUGGAGAGUUUGAUCCUGGCUCAGAGUGAACGCUGGCGGCGUGCCUAAUACAUGCAAGUCGAACGAUGAAGCUUCUAGCUUGCUAGAAGUGGAUUAGUGGCGCACGGGUGAGUAAGGUAUAGUUAAUCUGCCCUACACAAGAGGACAACAGUUGGAAACGACUGCUAAUACUCUAUACUCCUGCUUAACACAAGUUGAGUAGGGAAAGUUUUUCGGUGUAGGAUGAGACUAUAUAGUAUCAGCUAGUUGGUAAGGUAAUGGCUUACCAAGGCUAUGACGCUUAACUGGUCUGAGAGGAUGAUCAGUCACACUGGAACUGAGACACGGUCCAGACUCCUACGGGAGGCAGCAGUAGGGAAUAUUGCGCAAUGGGGGAAACCCUGACGCAGCAACGCCGCGUGGAGGAUGACACUUUUCGGAGCGUAAACUCCUUUUCUUAGGGAAGAAUUCUGACGGUACCUAAGGAAUAAGCACCGGCUAACUCCGUGCCAGCAGCCGCGGU
rnacentral:rRNA from 1 species